UACGGAGGGUGCAAGCGUUAUCCGGAUUCACUGGGUUUAAAGGGUGCGUAGGGGGGCUGGUAAGUCAGUGGUGAAAUCUCCAGGCUUAACUUGGAAACUGCCAUUGAUACUAUCAGUCUUGAAUACCGUGGAGGUCAGCGGAAUAUGUCAUGUAGCGGUGAAAUGCUUAGAUAUGACAUAGAACACCAAUUGCGAAGGCAGCUGGCUACACGAAUAUUGACACUGAUGCACGAAAGCGUGGGGAUCAAACAGG
rnacentral:rRNA from 1 species